GAGAGCUUAACUUAACGGUAAAGUAUGUGACUUUUAAUCGCUCUAAUAUGAGUUCAAAUCUCAUAGCUCUUA
rfam:Acyrthosiphon pisum strain LSR1 Contig2838, whole genome shotgun sequence.